UCCCUCUCAGGCACUCACGAUAACCACAGGCCACAGCCAUGCUAAUGAUAAAGGUGUUGCAGAUGCUAACUACAGUUCAUGAAGCAAGGACACAGGAAAGUAAGAUAAGGCCUGUAAUUGGCCAGAUCUACAGAAUGGAGGAGAAAGAGGGACUGGCACUGCAGGUGUGUGUGUGCGCGUAUCUGGACGGGACUACGCCACGAGAUACAGGAAGUGAUUGACACAGCAAGAUGCGUGUGUGGGUGCGUUACACUGACCACUUGCACACGAAUACAGAGAAGACCACCCAUCAAUCCGUCUGACCAACCGCCACACACAUGCAAACCUCGAGGUCAUCGGAGCUUCCAGACACGAAUGCAGUAAACGUUGCCUAUCCACCACACGCCGCCCUGCGCUGGUUCAGAGGUACCAUUCCAAACCUAACAUGGAAAAUCACACUGUGGCUAUGGGACCAAAAAGCGAAGCUAAUUCAGGAUAGAGGAUGUGCUUAUUCUACAAGCCUGUUUCAUGUCCAAUCAAGCCCACCUCGGAGAGUGUGACCCAAACAUAAACAUUUAUUCUGUAUUUAGCUCUCUUUCUCAGUUAUUAUUUCUCAUUAAGAGUCUCUGAAUCAGACCGCUGCUCAAACCAAAACAAACAGGCUUUUAAAUAUGUCUCUUUUGGGUUUCAACUGUGUACACACACUAAAAUGGUUGUUAGAAUAAAAGAUGCCUUUAUCUCCCAUUGAAAAAACUGUUUAAGUAGUGGAAAACGGUAACCUGAUGAACUACUCCUAUAAACCAUUUUGAAAGGUGUGAACUUAAAUUUAAGAAGUACUUCCUGUCUCAGUAUUUUACACAUUACACAAACGUUUGAAC